CCGGCGACCGGCGCACGGGUGAGUAACGCGUAUGCAACCUGCCCGUUUCAGCGGGAUAACCCGGAGAAAUCCGGCCUAAUACCGCAUGUGGCCGAGGGGAGGCAUCUUCUUUCGGCCAAAGGAGGCGACUCCGGAGACGGAUGGGCAUGCGUGACAUUAGCUAGUUGGCGGGGUAACGGCCCACCAAGGCGACGAUGUCUAGGGGUUCUGAGAGGAAGGUCCCCCACACUGGUACUGGGACACGGACCAGACUCCUACGGGAGGCAGCAG
rnacentral:rRNA from 1 species